AUUUUCAGUUAAUUACGUGUAUGU
rnacentral:sRNA from 1 species